GGGGGUGUGACUCAGUGGUAGAGAGCAUGUUUUUCAUCCAUGAGGCCCCUGGUUCAAUUCCUGGCAUCACAU
rnacentral:tRNA from 1 species